AAGCCCACUGGACCAAAAUAAUAUUAAAGACAUCCAAGGAGAACAUCUCUGAAUGGGCGGCAAGAUUUCUCAGACAGGUCUUGCUCUAUGAUGUUUAGCAGUGAAUACGAAUGUUACCAAUGGACACUAGAGCUGAAAAUCACCUUGGAGGACACCUGCUCUGACUCCCUCAUUUCACAGCUGGCACCUUGGCUGGCUCCCUGGGAAACACAACUGGGCAACUCAUGGAAAAGUCAAGGAGAUAACCUCAGAAGUAAUUCUGCAUGGAGAUGCUGAACCAGGACUCAACCCCUUCUCGCUCUGGAUCGUCUUUGUCAUUGUCAAAUAAGAGAUUCAUGGAGGGGUUUAUGUAUUUCCAAAUGGGAUUGUAAAUGCUUAAAGUUCAUAGAAUGUUGGAUCUGGGAGGAGAUUCUCAGUUCAACUCAACCUUACAUCCUACGAGAAGGAAACAGAAAUCCCAAAAGUCAUGCAGUUAUAUGUAACCAAGAUGGAAACUAGAACCCUAUUUCCCAACUUCCAGAGGAAAAAGUUUGGCUCCAAGAAUAGGCUUAUUCCCCUGAGCCCUAGAGCUGAUAACCGGGGAGCCUCUUCACUAUGUAAAGGUCACUGAAUGAUGACUUGCUACUACAGACACAUUCCUACAGCACCUACAGUGUUCAAGACAGAGGUAGUACAAGAGGGAAGUAAACUAUGAGGGAUGGGCAAAUCUGGGUAGGGGACAGCCAUGCCACACCCAACUGAGAUGUGGAUUGGGCAAUCUAUAUAUAAAACUAUAUUCCAGGUCCUGACUUCUAAAAUGCAUCAGCGGCUCUAGCUGAAUGGCAUUCUAGCCACACAGUCAUUACCCCUUGAUCCUAAGUUCGGCACAGCAGUUCUUACCAUUAAUUCUUCUAGUGUUGUAAAGAAGUAAGGGCAGAGGUGGGUGCAGAUGGCAGACAAAAGAGUGGGUCAUUUGGCCUGCUUAAGCCAUAAUAAGGUCUCCCAUCUCAGCACUAACCUAUCUGCCAGCAUUACAGGUGGCAUGUAGCAUGAAUUCAUCCACUGUUCUGAGUCACCAAUUUUCCUAAUCCAGGCACACCUCCUGCCCAGCUCAACUUGACUCUGUUGAUCCAUCAAUUGCUGUCAUCACCAGGAGUCAAGUGCCUCUCACAGCAUAGAGGUGGAGUUGCAGAAUUACACUGAAGCUGAGCAUCUCAAAGUUGAAUCAACCUA